UGAGGAUCCAUGUGCCAAGCAAGCUGUUGAAGCGACACACAGAAAUCGGCGACACUUUUGAUGGAGGCAGAUCUCACAAGUACUCUAGGUAAGUAGUUUAGUCAUGCAUCUUUUUUAAUAAAGAAAAUAGAGUCUAGCUUCAUAUUUUAUGGCUAAGAGAAUCAGACCAAUCAUUAAAAUAGUCACAAGUGUUCAAUUCGAAACUAAAUUCUAAAAUGGUACACAGAUUUAAUUCGUAAGUAUGGCUAAAGUCUCAACAUGUACAUACUAAAUUGUGUUCUCCAAUUUGGAUGGGAGCAAUUGCUAUUACUGGUCUAUUUGGUUGGGCGUAAAUGAUGUUGUGUUUGACACAAAAAAGGACUAUUUUUCUACUUACAGGUAAUUUUCAAAACUGCCUAAUGGAAGUGUUUCUGGUCUUCAUAAUUAAGGAGCACAACAAAACUGCAGCGGUGGAGAUUUGAUGUGUGAGUGUUUGGCAGGGCUCCUCUGGAGGAGCCAGAGCCAAAACUGGAGCGGAGCCCUGCCAAAUAGACCCUUAGUGCUUAGUACAUUAUUGAGUUCGAGUUUGUCUCAAAACUUUUUUUAGUUUUUGAGUCUUUAAUCAGCCACAGGCUAGAUCUAAAAUAAUGAAUAGUUCGGUACAAAACUCUUGCAGAGGUUGGAAUAACAGAGGCCAGAAUAAAAUUUCCUUUAAUUUUCCUAAACAAAAAAGGUUACAGCCUCAGGAAGCGCGGUCAGCCUGUGACAUUUGUACUUGUGAUUGAUGAAGCAAAAGAAGAAAUCCGCUGACUAUAGAACUACCCACAUCUAGAGAUAUGCAUAUGCCUGGCAUGCAGGCAGGCUUCAGAUGCAGGCAAUACAAGAUCGAUUAUUCAAACAGA
rnacentral:lncRNA from 1 species